GAGGAAUCACAUCUGAGAGACUCAGAAAUCAACUAAAAACAGACUGAAGGAGAGCUGUGCCCUCCCCUGCCUGCACCAGCCCCAGUGAGGAAGACGAGAUUUGGGAAGGUCACGCUGAGAUCUGCUCUCUCUCUCUGGCCUGCUUGGGCACGGGACCGGGUAGCCGCACCCUCCCCUGCCUGUGCCACCACAAGCUCUAGCAAGGAAGGUAGCUGCAGAGGUGCCCCUGAAACACCCCACCCCCC
rnacentral:lncRNA from 1 species